rnacentral:rRNA from 1 species
UACGUAGGGUGCAAGCGUUGUCCGGAAUUAUUGGGCGUAAGGAGCUCGUAGGUGGCCUGUCGCGUCGGCUGUGAAAACUCGGGGCUCAACUCCGAGCUUGCAGUCGAUACGGGCAGGCUAGAGUUCGGCAGGGGAGACUGGAAUUCCUGGUGUAGCGGUGAAAUGCGCAGAUAUCAGGAGGAACACCGGUGGCGAAGGCGGGUCUCUGGGCCGAUACUGACACUGAGGAGCGAAAUCGUGGGGAGCGAACAGG